UGAAACUUGCAAGGAACAGGCCUACGAUUUCGGGAUGUUAUUGCAAGUUUUAA
rnacentral:pre_miRNA from 1 species